rnacentral:rRNA from 1 species
AGUGAACGCUGGCGGUAGGCCUAACACAUGCAAGUCGAACGGCAGCACAGUAAGAGCUUGCUCUUACGGGUGGCGAGUGGCGGACGGGUGAGGAAUACAUCGGAAUCUACUUUUUCGUGGGGGAUAACGUAGGGAAACUUACGCUAAUACCGCAUACGACCUACGGGUGAAAGCAGGGGAUCUUCGGACCUUGCGCGAUUGAAUGAGCCGAUGUCGGAUUAGCUAGUUGGCGGGGUAAAGGCCCACCAAGGCGACGAUCCGUAGCUGGUCUGAGAGGAUGAUCAGCCACACUGGAACUGAGACACGGUCCAGACUCCUACGGGAGGCAGCAGUGGGGAAUAUUGCACAAUGGGCGCAAGCCUGAUCCAGCCAUACCGCGUGGGUGAAGAAGGCCUUCGGGUUGUAAAGCCCUUUUUUUGGGAAAGAAAAGCAGCAGGUUAAUACCCCGCUGUUCUGACGGUACCCAAAGAAUAAGCACCGGCUAACUUCGUG